CUUCCACUCUUCCCAUAAAUAACUGUGGCAGAGAGAAUCAAACUUCACGUAGGAUCCACCAGAUAUUGAUCAGAGUGUGGAUUGACAAAAGAAACAGAAGUUUUGGGCUAAAGAACUAUCAUUGUCAGUUAGCGCCCUGCUCAAAAUUGAUGUUGUAUAGAACUGACCGUUAUCUUCAUCUAGCUAAGCGGCAGUCCCUGCUAAAUCUAACACAUGCAAUCUAUAACCACCCAGAACAAUCAGGUAGUAAGACUGCUACACACACACACACACACAUCUUUUGCAAAGACCCUUCUUGUCAAAAGACCACUCUAGUAAAAAUUGGUCAUCACAUAACAAAAGGCAUGCACUGUUCGCAACAUUUUAAAAUCAGAAAAAAUGCAAGAUAUAUCAUCCCAAUCCCUCAAUCAUAAAUACAUGAAUAAGUCAAACAAAUGUAGCAUAUCUACCAUACCUCUGGAAAUAGACUUACCUUCAGUGUUCGGCUAGGCACCGACUAGGCGGCGAUUAGGCGCGCCUAGGCGCUAGUCGAUAGGCUGUCGCGUAGCCUAGGGUCCUGUGCGGCGUCUAGGCGGCCGCGCGACUAGGCGGCGAGUGGGCGGCGCGCGGGCCGCGCGGCAAUUUUUAGCGCGCGCGCGGGGGGGAGUAUUAGCGCGCGCUGUGCAGCCGCUCGGUCUCCCUCCCACACGGUCACAGAAAUUGCUCCCCCGCCGGCGCUCAUCCCCUCCUGCUGCUCCCCCGCCGGCUGCUCCCCUCCCUGCUCCCCCGCCGGUGAGUUCUCC
rnacentral:misc_RNA from 1 species